rnacentral:rRNA from 1 species
GUGCCAGCCGCCGCGGUAAUACAGAGGGUGCAAGCGUUAAUCGGAAUUACUGGGCGUAAAGCGAGCGUAGGUGGCUUGAUAAGUCAGAUGUGAAAUCCCCGGGCUUAACCUGGGAACUGCAUCUGAAACUGUUAGGCUAGAGUAGGUGAGAGGGAAGUAGAAUUUCAGGUGUAGCGGUGAAAUGCGUAGAGAUCUGAAGGAAUACCGAUGGCGAAGGCAGCUUCCUGGCAUCAUACUGACACUGAGGCUCGAAAGCGUGGGUAGCAAACAGGAUUAGAUACCCUGGUAGUCCACGCCGUAAACGAUGUCUACUAGUCGUUGGGUCCCUUGAGGACUUAGUGACGCAGCUAACGCAAUAAGUAGACCGCCUGGGGAGUACGGCCGCAAGGUUAAAACUCAAAUGAAUUGACGGGGGCCCGCACAAGCGGUGGAGCAUGUGGUUUAAUUCGAUGCAACGCGAAGAACCUUACCUGGUCUUGACAUACACAGAAUCUUGUAGAGAUACGAGAGUGCCUUCGGGAAUUGUGAUACAGGUGCUGCAUGGCUGUCGUCAGCUCGUGUCGUGAGAUGUUGGGUUAAGUCCCGCAACGAGCGCAACCCUUGUCCUUAGUUACCAGCACUUCGGGUGGGAACUCUAAGGAUACUGCCAGUGACAAACUGGAGGAAGGCGGGGACGACGUCAAGUCAUCAUGGCCCUUACGACCAGGGCUACACACGUGCUACAAUGGUAGGUACAGAGGGCAGCUACACAGCGAUGUGAUGCGAAUCUCAAAAAGCCUAUCGUAGUCCAGAUUGGAGUCUGCAACUCGACUCCAUGAAGUAGGAAUCGCUAGUAAUCGCGGAUCAGAAUGCCGCGGUGAAUACGUUCCCGGGCCUUGUACACACCGCCCGUCACACCAUGGGAGUUGAUUGCACCAGAAGUGGUUAGCCUAACUUAGUGAGGGCGAUCACCACGGUGUGGUUGAUGACUGGGGUGAAGUCGUAACAAGGUAACC